rnacentral:rRNA from 1 species
GGCGAAGGGCGCCCCCUGGCAAAGACUGACGUUCAGUGGGAAAGGCUGGGGAGCAAACAGGAUUAGAUACCCCUGGUAGUCCCCGCUGUAAACGAUGUCGACUUGGAGUUUGUUCCCCUGAGGAGUGGCUUCCGGAGCUAACGCGUUAAGUCGACCCCCUGGGGAGUACGGCCGCAAGGUAAAACUCAAAAUGAAUUGACGGGGGCCCGCACAAGCGGUGGAGCAUGUGGUUUAAUUCGAUGCAACGCGAAGAACCUNACCUACUCUUGACAUCCAGAGAACUUAGCAGAGAUGCUUUGGUGCUUUCGGGAACUCUGAGACAGGUGCUGCAUGGCUGUCGUCAGCUCGUGUUGUGAAAUGUUGGGUUAAGUCCCGCAACGAGCGCAACCCUUAUCCUUUGUUGCCAGCGAUUCGGUCGGGAACUCAAAGGAGACUGCCAGUGAUAAACUGGAGGAAGGUGGGGAUGACGUCAAGUCAUCAUGGCCCUUACGAGUAGGGCUACACACGUGCUACAAUGGCAUAUACAAAGAGAAGCGACCUCGCGAGAGCAAGCGGACCUCAUAAAGUAUGUCGUAGUCCGGAUUGGAGUCUGCAACUCGACUCCAUGAAGUCGGAAUCGCUAGUAAUCGUGGAUCAGAAUGCCACGGUGAAUACGUUCCCGGGCCUUGUACACACCGCCCGUCACACCAUGGGAGUGGGUUGCAAAAGAAGUAGGUAGCUUAACCUUCGGGAGGGCGCUUACCACUUUGUGAUUCAUGACUGGGGUGAAGUCGUAACAAGGUAACCGUAGGGGAACCUGCGGUUG